GACCACAUGGCCUAAUGGACAAGGCAUCUGACUUCACAUCAGAUGACUGGAUUCGAGUCCCUUAGUGGUUG
rnacentral:tRNA from 1 species